AUUUAUAUAAUAGGUAAAUCAACACAUUGUUUCAAACAAAUAACUAAAAAUGCAUGCAUUCAAAUUAAAGUUAUUUAUCUCUCGUUUUUUUGAUUAUUCGGCGGCCGUUUGCGCCCAAAAUUCCUCCGUUGGCUCCUCGUAUUUUCUUAAUGAUAUCGAAUUAGAUCCCAAGAUUUUCUGAAGCACAUGAAUUAAUCGUCGAAAAUACCUUCCCUCGCAAAUAUAUUUAUUUCGAAACUUAGGGAAAAUUAUUUGUACAUCGAAUUAUUCCGAGAAUUAACUAAAUAAUUCCCUAUAAUUAAUUUAAUUAUUACUAAAAGAUUUAAUUAGUUAUUGGCCCAAAGAUUUAAUUAAAAGCCCAAGACUUAAUUAUUUCUCCACCUUAUAUCUUCAAUUUAAUUAUGAAGCCCCAAAGAAAAAAAAAAAAGCAAGAGAGCCCAACUAACAAAACAUCAAUUUUUUUUAAUGAGGCCCAAUUUCCUUGAAAUGAAACAAAAAGCCCAAUAUACUCAUCCCUCCUUUACGCCUCAUUCCUUAUCUCCAUCUUCACCAUUUCACAAAAAUCCCCAAUUCACAACAAAUCCCACAUUCCCGUCGCUCCACCACAACUCCGCCAGUCGCCGAUUCGUCCUCAGCGUUCAUCCCGGAGCUCCGCCCUCCGUAGUGCACCGCAGCCGUCGUCGAUGUCGGAGUGGAGGUAUCUCUCCACCAUCGCGUCGAUCUUCACGCCGGCGGCCUCUUCCGUUUCUCCGUCGUCGUCGGUUCGGCCACAGCAGCUGCUUCCUCCAUCGCAUCGUAGGCAUCGUUGCCGUCGGCAGUUGAAGCACACAGCCGUCGCUGCUGUUUUCCGCUGUACCCGACGCCGCUGCACAGAGCCGUCGGCUUCUGCUCGCCGGGGUAACGACGCUGUCGUCGACGUCUGUUACAAGCUGCGUUCGCUGCUGUGCAGCCCCCUCGCCGGGAAGGUGCCGGGAGACGCGACGCUGCUGCUGUCUCGCCGGGAAGACGCGACGCCGCUGCUGUCAGCAGCGUCCGUCGGUCAGUCUCUGCCUCUCCGUUGCCCCGAUUUACCCCGAAACUGCCCCGACUCCUCCGUUACCAACCCGAUUCGUUAAAGAUCACGGGGGAGGAAAAUCUCAUCACGGAGGAGGAAUAUCUCUGAAAAAAAAUCUUUAUUUAAUAUUUGAAUUAAUGUCGGUUGAUGAUCAAUCAACAGGGAGAAUAAAUAUUUGAUUAGAUUAGUUUAAUUCGCAGUCCAUUGUAUUUUAUUUUUAAAUUGUGCAGUUCACAAUUUAUUUAUCACGGACUGGAUUGUUAUAUUAUUUAUUCAAUUUCUUCGAUCCA